AGACGAACCGUCCAAACGUUAUUCGGAAUCACUGGGCUUAAAGGGCGCGUAGGCGGCCGAGCGGGUCACGGGUGAAAUCCUCCAGCUUAACUGGAGAACUGCCCUUGAUACCACUGCGGCUCGAGGAAGGAAGGGGCAAUGGGAACUGUCGGUGGAGCGGUGAAAUGCGUUGAUAUCGACAGGAACGCCGGUGGCGAAAGCGCAUUGCUGGUCCUUUUCUGACGCUGAGGCGCGAAAGCCAGGGGAGCAAACGGGAUUAGAUACCCCGGUAGUCCUGGCCUUAAACGAUGAGAACUAGGUAGUGGGUCCGACCUGGGCACACUGCCGAAGCGAAAGUUUUAAGUUCUCCGCCUGGGGAGUAUGGUCGCAAGGCUGAA
rnacentral:rRNA from 1 species